rnacentral:rRNA from 1 species
UACAGAGGUGGCAAGCGUUGUUCGGAAUUACUGGGCGUAAAGGGCGCGUAGGCGGUUCGUUAAGUCCUGUGUGAAAUCCCCCGGCUCAACUGGGGAACUGCACAGGAAACUAGCGGGCUUGAGUUCGGGAGAGGGAAGCGGAAUUCCGGGUGUAGCGGUGAAAUGCGUAGAUAUCAUUUGGAACGCCAAUGGUGAAAACAGGUAGCUGGGGAUGUGCUGACGCUGAGACACGAAAGCCAGGGGAGCGAACGGG